UACGUAGGGUGCAAGCGUUGUCCGGAAUUAUUGGGCGUAAAGAGCUCGUAGGCGGCCAGUCACGUCUGCUGUGAAAACUCGGGGCUUAACCCCGGGCCUGCAGUGGAUACGGGCUGACUAGAGUGCGGUAGGGGAGACUGGAAUUCCUGGUGUAGCGGUGAAAUGCGCAGAUAUCAGGAGGAACACCGGUGGCGAAGGCGGAUCUCUGGGCAGUAACUGACGCUGAGGAGCGAAAGCGUGGGGAGCGAACAGG
rnacentral:rRNA from 1 species